CCCCUAGAUGUUCUGGGCCGCACGCGCGCUACACUGAACAGUUCAACAAGUCUUAACCUUGGCCGAUAGGUCUGGGUAAUCUUUGAACGCUGUGCGUGAUUGGGAUAGACCUUUGCAAUUAUGGGUCUUCAACGAGGAAUUCCUAGUAAACGCAAGUCAUCAGCUUGCAUUGAUUACGUCCCUGCCCUUUGUACACACCGCCCGUCGCACCUACCGAUUGAAUGGUCCGGUGAAAUCUCGGGACGGCGGCUUGGUCGCUUGCGUCCGACUGCUGAAACUUGAUUAAACCAUAUCAUUUAGAGGAAGGUGAAGUCGUAACA
rnacentral:rRNA from 1 species